CACGUAGGCACCAAGCGUUGUCCGGAUUUAUUGGGCGUAAAGAGCUCGUAGGCGGUUCAGUAAGUCGGGUGUGAAAACUCUGGGCUUAACCCAGAGCCGCCACUCGAUACUGCUGUGACUUGAGUUCGGUAGGGGAGCAGGGAAUUCCUAGUGUAGCGGUGAAAUGCGCAGAUAUUAGGAGGAACGCCGGUGGCGAAAGCGGUCUGCUGGACCUCUUCUGACGCUGAGGCGCGAAAGCCAGGGGAGCAAACGGG
rnacentral:rRNA from 1 species